GAAGAUAUAGCUCAGUGGUAGAGCGCAUGCUUAGCAUGUAUGAGGUCCUGGGUUCAAUCCCCAGUACCUCUG
rnacentral:tRNA from 1 species